CUUCAAAUUGUGGGGUGCAGGGAACUGAUGCUCAUUUCAAAUGAAUAUAAUCUGAAUAAAAACAUCAAUUCAAAGACUACAAUCAAAGCAUUAAAAAAGUCAAUUGAGCAGGUGAUCAUUUCAUUUUCAGUCUCACCUUUCUUCUUUUUGUAAGCCAUGAAUCCAAAGGCAGCGACAAGGAAGAGAGCAAGAGCAACCAUUGCAGCAAUGAUGGGGACGGUCAUGUUACUGGGCCUCUCUGUGGACCAAAAAAAUAUUUUACAUAUUUUAGGCCGAUACAGAUAAAGCAGGUUAGAACAGAGCUUCAUUGGAGGACAAAAGCUAAAGCAAACCACAGACAUGCAGUCCCCAUCAGCACCCUCUGGUCUCAUUCUUACCCCUGUUGGUCCUGAUCACUGCUUCAUCCAGUCUGGUAACAAUGUUGUCCUUUACACCAGAGAGAUGAAACACACAGUCGUACCUCCACCAGUCUUCACGUGUGACUGAUGAAAGGUCCAGGUCAACACUCAUCUGGAAGAACAUCAUGGCUCUGUCAGGGAAGAAACCUAUAGCGUGGCAGCUGACUGGAGAGGAGGGCGUCUUCUGGAGGAGAAACACUGAGGGCUCUGAGGAGACAGAGAGACAAUGGAGGGAGAGGG